rnacentral:tRNA from 2 species
GGGCCUGUAGCUCAGUCGGUUAGAGCAGAGGACUCAUAAUCCUUUGGUCGUCGGUUCGAGUCCGACCGGGCCCACCA